rnacentral:rRNA from 1 species
GUGGGGAAUUUUGGACAAUGGGCGCAAGCCUGAUCCAGCAAUGCCGCGUGCAGGAAGAAGGCCUUCGGGUUGUAAACUGCUUUUGUACGGAACGAAACGGUCUGGGUUAAUACCCUGGACUAAUGACGGUACCGUAAGAAUAAGCACCGGCUAACUACGUGCCAGCAGCCGCGGUAAUACGUAGGGUGCAAGCGUUAAUCGGAAUUACUGGGCGUAAAGCGUGCGCAGGCGGUGCUGUAAGACAGGCGUGAAAGCCCCGGGCUCAACCUGGGAAUUGCGCUUGUGACUGCAGUGCUGGAGUGCGGCAGAGGGGGAUGGAAUUCCGCGUGUAGCAGUGAAAUGCGUAGAUAUGCGGAGGAACACCGAUGGCGAAGGCAAUCCCCUGGGCCUGCACUGACGCUCAUGCACGAAAGCGUGGGGAGCAAACAGGAUUAGAUACCCGAGUAGUCC